rnacentral:rRNA from 1 species
GACGAACGCUGGCGGCGUGCUUAACACAUGCAAGUCGAACGGAACGUCCCUGCUUUUGUGGGGUGCUUGAGUUGCGACCUGGUGAGUAACACGUGAGUACCCUGCCCUUGACUUUGGGAUAACUUCAUGCAACUUGGUCUCAUACCGGCUAGGAUCUCCUGCUUCAUGGUGGGGGUUGGAUAGUUUCGGCGGUUGGGGAUGGACUCGCGGCUUAUCAGCUUGUUGGUGGGGUAGUGGCUUACCAAGGCUUUGACGGGUAGCCGUCCUGAGAGGGUGACCGGACAAAUCGGGACUGAGAUAAGACACAGACUCGUACGGGAGGCAGGGGAGGGGAAGAGAGUACAAGGGGCGGAAGCAUGAUGCAGCAAAGCAGCGUGGGGGAAGAGGGGAAGGGGGUAGGAAAGCGAUGUCGCUUGAGACGAAGCGUGAGUGACGGUAAUGGGUAAAGAAGCACCGGCUAACUCCGUG